AGGCAAAGGUCACAAGGUCAAAAGGGAAAAUGGCACCAAGGGUUCUCGUUUUUUUUUUUUUUCUGAAAGCUUUCCGUUAUGGUGAUGAAUCAUUAAUGGGGUUCACACUCUGUUUCCUUGGGUGUUUAGAGCCUGUUAUGUAAUAUACAUAAUAAAUGUUAACACAUGUUCAAGACAGUAAACCACAUGUAAGAGUUACUGUGGAAGAUCAGUCCCUUGACCCGCCUCGUUUGGCAUUUAAAAAUUGUAGCAGACUCUCCCUCCCACAACCUGCUUACCCAGGAGGAGUGAACAAGACCUGGGAUGAAAAGAGCUGGAAUCUCCCUCUAUCCGUCCCACACAUACCAGAGAUAAACAACAGAGAUAGCCUCUUUCAUUCCAGCCCCACAGCUUUGUACUGUAAUUGUUGAGAACUAUAGCCUUGCCUACUGACUGCUCCUUAAUAAGCAGCCACUCUGGACUCAUCUGUUGACUUUCUCUUCAUUUCAGCUCUUAAUUGUAGACCUUGACCAUAGCACUCCCUUGAAAAGUGUCCACAUUUGAAGCAAGAAAAGUGAUGUGAAAAUUCUGGGGACUGGAACAUAUAAUGAGACUUUCGCUCAUUCAAACUAUUACUCAGUUUACAGAGGUCAUUAACUGUUGUUAAAAGUAAUUAACUGUCAUUUUCUAACUUUCACAGCCGCACUAAUUCAAACCAUGUGAAGGCUUCUGGGAAUAUUCUCAGACUGUCUCAUCACACUAACUCACCAGCACCACUUAAUACUAAAGCUGAUUCAUAUUUUCAGCCAUGUGUGAGGAAGACGAAAGCCUCACAGAGGAAACAUCUACAUCGGAUCUCUCACUUGACUCAGAAUUUCGUCAUGUUUCCUCAACAUGUUCCUUGUCAGUGAGUCGUCCCGUAAGCUCUUGUGACAAAGCUCUGACAAAUUGCAGUUCCCACAGCAAGGAGCCGGCGUGUCCUCUAUCAGUCCCUGGGAUCAGAGUUACACUCUCUACCCUGAGGUUUUCUCUCUGAGAUGUUUCACAAGAGCAGCAGAAAAGAGCAUGUCCAAACACAGGCUGCGGUCCGCUUUGUGGAGAACUGAUUGGAUUAUUCACAGCCAGCCACCACGUCAAUGCCAGCAGCGAGUUUCAGUGUGUUUGGUGGCUGCAGAGCAACAUCCUGUUACUCUCCACCUGUUUUUGUGGUUUUGGCACUCACAGGGCUCACAUGGAUGACUGGCAUGAUGUGUCAUUGUAGGCUUGGUCAUUGUUUAAGACUUCAUUGACCACAAUAAAGAUUUUGCAGCGCUU